GCCUAAGAGCAACAUUAUUUUGAAUUCAAUUGCAAUAAUGACAUGUAAACAAAGUUGUACAACAUUCACACUUAACAUUCCCAAGCUAACUUAUACAUAAUUGUAUGAAAUUUAAACCUCAAUUAAACCCUUCUUUAAUAAAAUAGUAGCAAAAAUCCCACGAGAUUAACAUGUAACUACCUUGAAUCUAAAAAUCACAUCAACUUUCAGCAGAAUCAGACGAAAACCAGAAGCAAUUCACCUUAUACCACAUCAACAACAUGAGAAGGCUAAUAGAAUACACAUAAGAUUAAACUAUUACAAAAUAUGAAAGAAAUGGAAGAACAAGGAAGUAAGAUUCAAUAAAACAACUUGUAUUCAUCAUGUUUCCACAUUCGAAUUGCAUGUUUACACUUCAUAUGCUAUCCAUAGCUCAAAAUACCUGGAAGUCAAGAGAAAACAAUGAGAGUGAGGAAUUAGCAAUAGCAGUAGAUCAACUCAAUAACUCAGCAAACCCAGCUUCUUUCAAACCAAUUUAAAACCCAGAUGAGCACAGUUCUUUGGAGAUUUUUAAAAUUCUAACUAACAAAGGAAAUCAAAGUGCAAAAACCCAAGGAAGUUUCACGCAAUUUUUAAAUAUUUUCAGAUUCUAAAAGCUCAACCGUUUCUAAGUUUUUCAGUCUUGUAAUCUUUGCUCAUUUUUAUUGAAAGCAAGCUUAUAUAGAAGGUCCUAGAGCAGCAGAAUUGGUUUUAAGUUUUACCAAUUUCUCCUUCCCUGAUUUUUCAUUCUUUCAUUUUAAACCCCAAAAUUAGAGUCUGCUUGCUAAAACAAACCCAACCCCACCUUCCUAGAAAUUUUUCCAAGCGGUUAAGAAAGAUUCUCCUUGCCCAAUUUCCUAAACUACCCUUUAACCCUCUAUUAUUUACCCUCAUAACCUAAACCAAUGCAGGUCACCUACUACUCAUAUCUGGGCCCAAGUGGGUGGGCUUCCAAUGCCUAGGUUUGCCUUACCAUAAACCCAAAAAAGGGUCUCAAAUUCAGUAAAGCAAGAACAGAUCAAACAAAACAAAAAAGGCAUCAAAUUAACCAUAACAUGGACUCAACCCAUUAGAACCUAAAAAUGGUGAACUCACAUCACUGAAUAAUUCAAACUAUGACUUGCUAAAAAGGGAAAGAGAAAAGAAGAAAGGGAGCCUGAUAAUACAGUAAAGAAAUGGGCGUAUUGGUGCCGUUUAAUCAACUUAACAAAACUUCAAAUUAAACAAAGAAUACAAGAAGAAAUUAACCUACUAAUUUGAACAGACCAUAGCAGAAUCAGGAAGAAAAUAAAGUUAAAGAAGAAAUGGACAUACAAUCAAUAGGAUAAAACAUGUACUGUUUUACCAGAAACACAUGAGUGAGCAUUGCUUGAUAAAUUUGCCAGUCUUUGGUCUUGCAUGGGGCUGGUGGGUUUCGAAACGAGUAGAAAUCUAUGCUAAUUGCUCAUCCUCAAGGAGAAUAGUUGACUGGCAUAGGUUUCGACCCAUUAUCGACCGAGAAAACGGCAUGAUCUCUGACAAGGGGAGUAAGAUUAGGGUUCAGGUUUUGGCGUCAGAUUUGGGAUUUGAAGGCAAGGGUAGGGAUUUUUGGGGUAUUCGUGUUAGAUUCAUGUUCCAUGGGGUGUGUGGAUUGUAGAUGAACAAUUUGGGGUUGAUUUGGGUGGUCUGCCGCCGGUAGAAAUGGUGGAGGAAUUUAGGGCGGCGGGUCUAGGGUUUACAGAGAGAAAAUGGGUGAGGAAAUGAAGUGAAGACCUUAGGUUAUUCGGACAAUUUUAUUUAAAAUGGGGGAAGUGUUCACGGCCGUUGGAUUAGAUGAAACGAAAGGCCAGGAUUGACUUAAAGCCCUUGAACUCAAAACGACGUAGUUUUGUUCCUAUACUACGUCGUUUCAAGGGCCUCGGGGCUGAAGGCUUGGACCGGGUGUGGGACUGUGUUUUGUUCUCUUUUCCCUUUUUUUAAUUUUCAAUUUUCAAUUUUCCUUUUCCUUUCAAAUUAAUUUAAAACCUAAAUUAACUCUUAAACCAAAUUAAUUUACCAAAUUAAGCUAAUUACUCAUCAUAUUAUUUACAAAAAUUAGUUAACUCCUAAAUUAAAAGAAAAACUAUAAAAUUUAAAAUUAAAAAGUUAAAGAAUGCAAAGUGAGUUAUUUUUUUUGUGAUUUUUCAUUUUUAUAAAAUAACUAAUUUACUAAUUAACCUAAAAAUGUAAAAUUAAAUCCUAAAUGCAAAUGUAGAGUAUUUUUGUAUUUUCAUGAUUUAACUAAAAAUUAAACAUGCAUAGAAAAAUGCAAAUAAUUAAGAAAAUUCUACAAAAAUUCCUAAAAUGGCAAAUAAUUAAAAGAAAAAAUCUAUUUCCUUGGGACUCUGUAGGAGUGUUUCAUGUAGGUAAAAAAUCACAUGCUCACAUUAUUAAUAACAAAAUCAAACAAAUUAUACCUGAAAUCUAGCAAAUAGAUAAGAAGAUGAAAAGAGUAUUGUUGAAAGCUUGAAGAAGGAGAACUGAAGUACUCCUCCGAUCGACUGGAAUAGAAGAGAAGGAAGUCGGACGAGAAAAUGUUUCUAGACCCAUAUCAUGUAAAAUGAAUAGAUGGAAGGCCCUUUUUCCUUUGAGCGAAAUGAUAAUUUUGCCCUUGAUCGAUCAUCU
rnacentral:lncRNA from 1 species